GAAAUGCGAUAAGUAAUGUGAAUUGCAGAAUUCAGUGAAUCAUCGAAUCUUUGAACGCAUCUUGCGCUCCUUGGUAUUCCGAGGAGCAUGCCUGUUUGAGUGUCAUUUAACUUCUCAACCACAUCAAUUUCUUUGAUCGUGGCUUGGAUGGUGGGGGUGUUUUUUUUGCUGGCUUUGGAAACAAGGUCGGCUCCCCUGAAAUGCAUUAGUGGUAUCUGAGCAGUAACUACUACAGGUGUGAUAAUUUAUCUAUGCCUUUUGUUACCACUGCAUGAACAGAUUACACUGCUUCUGAACUCAUGUUUGACAAAUUUGACCUCAAAUCAGGUAGGACUACCCGCUGAACUUAA
rnacentral:misc_RNA from 1 species